rnacentral:lncRNA from 1 species
CCCCUGCGUCCUCCUUUUUCGAGAUAUUGCUGGUGGUACUCCUCUGCCCCGUAAAACUUCUUCGCCGGGAGGAUCUCUGUCACCACCUCCGUAUCCUUCAACUCCGCCUGCUUUGCUUCCUUUGAUUCCUCGGCCAGACGAGCCUGGUUUUCACUGUAGUAGUAGAUUCCGGAUCGGUAUUGUGUACCAACAUCUCCUCCCUCAUCCAUAACACAAAAUUUAUUUAAUAAAUAACAAUCAUGAACCAAUUAUUUGAGAAACGUACACAAACAAUACCGGUUAUAAACCAAGGUAUACUCUUUACCAACAGAAGAAACCAAACUCGGUAUUUAGGUUGUAACGGUUAAUAUUUUUCAACUAAAUUACAAGCUCCAUGUCAAGUACUCAAGGUCAUUUCAAUUCUGUUUUCGAUCAAAAGUUCGUAACUAAUUUUAUUUGCCCUCACUUACCUAAUUUUUCCCCAAAAAAACACAAGCUUUGCUGAAAUUUAGCAAUCGCCAAGUCAUUGUGGCAGUAACAUAAAAUAAAAUAAAUAAUAAAUAAUAAAUAAGGUUGUAGCAACCAAUGUUCUUUUACUUUUGUUUUUAUGGCCAAAGAACAAAAAGAAAAAAGAAAAGAAAAUGAUAAGCACAAAAGUACAACUCCAUGCGUCAAAAAGUAGGAGGCGCGGGAAAAAAAAAACAAUGAUCAGGCCACAAAAUCAACGGCCCAUAAAAGUCAAAAAUCAAUUACCUGGCGAUUGAGGGUCGUUGGAUCAUGACGAUCCCAAAACACAGAGAGUAGAUCCGUAUAGGAGCAGACUUCCGGGUCAAAUUGGACCCGAACCACCUCCGAGUGGUUCGUGGUUCCGGAG